AGACUGAAGUGGAGAAAGGUUCCAUGUGAUCAGCACUUGUGCAUGGGUCAGCCGAUCCUAAGAGAUAGGGAAACUCCGUUCGGAAGUGGGCAGUUCCAAUUUAUUGGGUAUUGCCCCGCCUAUCGAAAGGGAACCGGGUUAAUAUUCCCGGGCCAGGACGUGGAUACGUGUGGCAACACAAACGAGCUUGGAGACGCCAGCGAGUACCCCGGGAAGAGUUCUCUUUUCUUCUUAACUGUCUAUCACCCUGAAAUCGGUUUGUCCGGAGCUAGGGUUUAAUGGCAGGUAGAGCAGCACACCUUUGUGCUGUCCGGUGCGCUCUCGACGACCCUUGAAAAUCCGCCGGAAGGAAUGAUUUUCACGCGAGGUCGUACUCAUAACCGCAGCAGGUCUCCAAGGUGAACAGCCUCUAGUUGAUAGAACAAUGUAGAUAAGGGAAGUCGGCAA
rnacentral:rRNA from 1 species